GAUCUACUUCCUCCGUUCGGAAAUACUUGUCACCAAAAUGGAGAAAAAUGGGUGUAUUUAGAACUAAAAUAUGUCUAGAUACAUUCCAUUUUAUUCAUUUUGAUGACAAGUAUUUCCGGACGGAGGGAGUACAAG
rfam:Triticum aestivum genome assembly, contig: Triticum_aestivum_CS42_TGACv1_scaffold_051109_1BS